GGCCCAGUGGCUCAGUGGUAAAGAAUCUGCCUGCAAUGCAGGAGACACAGGAGACUCAGGUUCAAUUCCUGGGUUGGGACG
rfam:TPA: Bos taurus chromosome X, whole genome shotgun sequence.